AAAACUAGAAUACACAAUCAUUGCAAGCUCAAUUUAACUGGGCGUGCAAUUGAAAUACACUGUUUUAAGACUAACAAACAUGAAAUGGAGAAAAAGAGAAGUAUUUGACUAAUUCAAACAAAUCAUAGCCGCAAUCCCCUCAAACCCUUCUAGACUCCUAUACAAACCAAAAGUCUAUCUUACAUAUUUGCACAAACAUAGAGAGAAAGGAAGAAUCAUUUACAGCUCAUUUUCACUGAGUUUAUGACAUGCAUAAGAAGGCGUAUACUGGCAGAUUCUGAAGCAGAUGUGGUGGGUAGGUUCCUCUGAUGGCUCAGUAUCUGAUGGACUUGAUCAAAUAUUGGUCUCACGUGCACUGCAAUCAUUGGAUCUGCAGGGUUUAUGGCAACAGCCACGUCUGUCAUCCAUGCCAG
rnacentral:misc_RNA from 1 species